GGUUGCGAUCAUACCAGCACUAAUGCACCGGAUCCCAUCAGAAUUCCGCAGUUAAGCGUGCUUGGGCGAGAGUAGUACUAGGAUGGGUGACCCCCUGGGAAGUCCUCGUGUUGCAACCCC
rnacentral:rRNA from 1 species